rnacentral:rRNA from 1 species
ACUUCGGUCAAGUUGAACGGAUGACUUAGUGGCGGACGGGUGAGUAACGCGUGAGGAACCUGCCUUUCAGUGGGGGACAACAGUUGGAAACGACUGCUAAUACCGCAUAAUGUAUUCUGACCGCAUGAUCGGAAUACCAAAGAUUUAUUGCUGAAAGAUGGGCUCGCGUCCGAUUAGAUAGUUGGUGAGGUAACGGCUCACCAAGUCGACGAUCGGUAGCCGGACUGAGAGGUCGAACGGCCACAUUGGAACUGAGAUACGGUCCAGACUCC